AUAUUCUUGUUCUCUUAAAUUAAACUACGACACAAAUUACAACGUAGAGAGUUUGGGUUGGAAUAGCUAAAGAGUUUGACCUUUUAAGUUGUGUUUCGACCCAAUAAUCUAUUCCUGACCUGAUAUCCAAUGAGUCGACGAGCCACCAAAUAUGAAGUAUAAUCGUUUUAAGUAAUGAAAAGAACAAAAUAAUUAUUUCUACUUUUCUAGUAUAGUUGGAAAUGCGACUUGAUUAAGGAUUCAGCUA
rnacentral:lncRNA from 1 species